CAAUGUACCUGGAAAGGUCAGUUCUGGGAUCAAAAGCAAUAACAGGCUGCUUGGAGACAGGAUUUCCUGAGCUAUACAACUGCUGAAGAGAGAGAAAGAGAAGCGACUGCUCUAAGAGUGGAAACAAUCUUAAACCAUCUUCAGUCCUGGCUUGCAUCUGACACAGUCCCAUUCAUCUAACAGAGGCUAUACAGUGUCACUGAACUGAGGUGAGCAGCAGCACUACCUAGUCAUCAUUCCAGUGACAGUUUGGUAACCUGGUACCUCCUUACCCUGGAAAGACUCACACCACGAAGACAAUGUGAUCCUCAGUCAGAUUACCCAAGAGAUGUUCCUUCCUGGAAAGGGAAAUAGGACAGAGAUACAGAGCUGUUUUUCAAUCCCUUCGUUUACAUGGACUCAUUUCAAGUACGUUUUAUUGUGUGUUUGUGAUUUAAACCUUACCAGCUCCUAUUUUCAGAUGGAAAGAUUUGAAGUCCCA